rnacentral:rRNA from 1 species
AGCGAACGCUGGCGGCAGGCUUAACACAUGCAAGUCGAACGCAUCCUUCGGGGUGAGUGGCAGACGGGUGAGUAACACGUGGGAACGUACCCUUCGAUCUGGGAUAACUUCGGGAAACUGGAGCUAAUACCGGAUACGCCCUUUUGGGGAAAGGUUUACUGCCGAAGGAUCGGCCCGCGUCUGAUUAGCUAGUUGGUGGGGUAACGGCCUACCAAGGCGACGAUCAGUAGCUGGUCUGAGAGGAUGAUCAGCCACACUGGGACUGAGACACGGCCCAGACUCCUACGGGAGGCAGCAGUGGGGAAUAUUGGACAAUGGGCGCAAGCCUGAUCCAGCCAUGCCGCGUGAGUGAUGAAGGCCUUAGGGUUGUAAAGCUCUUUUGUCCGGGACGAUAAUGACGGUACCGGAAGAAUAAGCCCCGGCUAACUUCGUG